ACAUACAACUGUACAUCUACAGUAAAAAACAGUUUUGGGCUCGGACUGCGUUUCGUCGCUUUGUGUAUCUCUCUCGACCUCUCUCACCACUUUGUAUAUCUUUUUCUUGAUGUCUAUCGAUCUCAUUCAGCCACUUCCAUCUUUCUUCCUCUCUCUCGAUCUCAAGCUCUCCUUCCUUCUCUUUCGUCACUCCUUUCAUCUCUUGGACGUACACCAGACUGAAAGAGAGAGGGGGACCAAAGACUGAAAGAGAGAGUUUGGCUAAGCAUCCUGGGUUUUUGAUGAAUUCAGAUCAGAGAAAGACGGAGAGAGGGAGGGCAGAGGUGGUGCUUUCGGUCGAGUACCCAACAAAGCUCUGAAGGGAGAUUUUAUCAACACCAAGAAAGGUUUUUCCUUUGGUCAUCCAAGGCCUAGAGAACAGAUUAAGGAGCUUGGAGAUCAGGUUGAGGGCGGAAUGAGGCUAGAUAAGAGUUUUGGGUUCUUAAAGAAUUGCAGUGAAAUGUAUGAGCUUUGGGAGGAGGUUGGGAGAGGAAGUUUUUCCUUAACUUGCAUAGCUGCUUUUAAGAAGGGAGAGCUUAAGGGCCGCCAUGCUUCUGUCAGAUCAUCCCAAGAACCAAGAUCUAUCUAUUGCUCUUUCUAGGAAACAAGAAGUGCUACUCACUCUUGGAUCUUGAGGAAGAUGAAUACAAGACAAGGUUUUGAUAGAGAGCAGAUAAAAAGCAGUUGAAAGCAACAUAUUUAAGGAUGUGGAGUCAAAACCAACAAGUAUCGUGAACAAUGAACCAGCUAAAGAGGCAGAGUCUGAACUGCAAGUUUCUCUGCAGAGUUUUAAAACUUAUGUAAUAUGAACUAUUUUACUACAUGUUUGAGAUUUGAAAUCUGGCUUAAGUACUUAAUAGAUUUUUGUAACAAUGGUGAUGUACCCGCAGCAACGCGCGGGCAAUCUUACUAGUUAAGGAUGAUUCUAUGAUCCAGCCUUAUUUAUUUAUUCGUAACAACAGAAUAUUAAAAUCAAGAAUUAAAUUCAGUUUACCCUCA